rnacentral:misc_RNA from 1 species
GCGACCGGCGUUAACGACAACCAAAAGACCACUCUCCCCCACAUUUUUCGACGAAGAAGCAGCGUGGUCCAGUGAGGCUUUGUUCGAACUUUAAAAUUUCGUGUUUGUUAAGAGAUCGAUCUGUUCAAAUCCAUCCAAGGCUGUUGAGGUUCACUUAGCUCCCUUUUGAAGAAGACUUGGAUUGCUUUCUCCAAAUUGUGGUGAAUUCUCAAGUUCGAGGUCGGAAUUUUUCAUUUCUUAGAUUUCAUUGUAUUUACCUAUGUUGAGACUUUUCUAUUGAUGUAAGGUCUAAGUCCCAAACUUUGUACUCAUAUGUUUAUAUGGUGUAA